rnacentral:lncRNA from 1 species
CUCCCUCUACUUUAUCAAGAUUUGUUUCUCCUCUAGUUUAGUUCAUCAUUGCUUGGCGAAGCCCUGCUGGAUUAGUUCACCACCACCACCACCACGCCGUUGUGUUGGAGAAAUCAUCUACCUCUCUGCCCCUCUUGAUGGAUCAAGAAAGCGGAGAUCAUCAUCGAGUUGUACGUGUGCUGAACGCGGAGGUGCCGUCCGUUCGGCACUAGAUCGGGAUGGAUCGUGAUGGGAUUGCGGGACGGAUCGUGAUGAGAUCAUGGGACGGGCUGCGAUUUUAAUCGCGAAGAUGUUCCAUUACAUCAACUGCGUUAUAUACGCUUCCGCUUAGCGAUCUACAAGAGUAUUUAGAUUCACUCUCCCCUCUCAUGGAUGAUCAUCAUCAUGGAUAGGUAUUGCGUGUGCAUAGGAAUUUUUUUGUUCCCAUACAACAUUCCCCAACACAUAUAACACCAUUAAUUUGGACAUGAGGCGUCUCUGGGCAUCUGUGUUUGUAGUACGAGUUGGUGCACGCCAUUAAUGGUUGGAAUGGGGUCGACGAUGAUUUGAACAAUUAGAGGCACUUGUACACGAGCAAGGUUUGCCCACACCACACCAAGUUUAUUAAGUUUGUUAGUAGGAAUUGUGUGUGUUAUGAUGAGUAUUCUCACACAAUUCGGAUUACUAACAUGUUUGUCGGAUACCAUACACAUCUUGUUACGACAAAUUAUUUUUGUUAUUUUAACUCAUCGCAAACAGUUAAUCCGGCUGAACUGCAUGCCAUCUAUCGUACACAUUUUCAUCUAUGUAAUCAUUUGUGUUAUUUUGGCAUGUCACAAACAGUUCAUCCGGGCGACCUGUUUGCCACCUAUUGCACGCAUCUUGGUCUAAUCGUUCGUGUUAUUUUGACUAAUCGCAAAUAGUUAAUCCGACUGAAUUGUAUGUCGUUUAUCACACGCAUCUUGAUCUGUGUAAUCGUUUGUGUCAUUUUAGCAUGUCGCGGACAGUUCAUCCGGACGUCCCUUUGCCGUCUAUCGCACACAUCUUGAUAUGUGUAGUCUUUUAUGUUAUUUCGGCUCAUUGCAAACAGUUCAUCUGAAUUACAUGUAUG